rnacentral:snoRNA from 1 species
AACCCAUGAUUUGGGCAUUUUCUGAGCAUCAUUUUGAAUCUCUCUCAUGACUCACAAAAAGCUUCAUCAGCUCCUUGUCUGAACAUAGAGACUUUGCUUUGAUGUA